CAGCAGCCGCGGUAAUACGAAGGGGGCUAGCGUUGUUCGGAAUUACUGGGCGUAAAGCGCACGUAGGCGGAUAUUUAAGUCAGGGGUGAAAUCCCAGAGCUCAACUCUGGAACUGCCUUUGAUACUGGGUAUCUUGAGUAUGGAAGAGGUGAGUGGAAUUCCGAGUGUAGAGGUGAAAUUCGUAGAUAUUCGGAGGAACACCAGUGGCGAAGGCGGCUCACUGGUCCAUUACUGACGCUGAGGUGCUAAAGCGUGGGGAGCAAACAGGAUUAGAUACCCCCGUAGUCCCUGUCUCUUAUAC
rnacentral:rRNA from 1 species